UGCAAGUCGCACGGGCGUAGCAAUACGCCAGUGGCGAACGGGUGAGUAAUGAAUCGCUAACGUACCCCGGACUUUGGGAUAGCUGCCCGAAAGGGCAGGUAAUACCAGAUGACAUACCCGCGGGGCAUCUCGUGGGUCUCAACGGUCCGCCGGUCUGGGAGCGGGCGAUUUCGUAUCAGCUAGUUGGUGAGGUAACGGCUCACCAAGGCGACGACGCGUAGCCGGACUGAGAGGUUGGCCGGCCACAUCGGGACUGAGACACUGCCCGGACUCCUACGGGGGGCUGCAGUAACGAAUCUUCCCCAAUGCACGAAAGUGUGAGGGAGCGACGCCGCGUGUGGGACGAAGUCCUUCGGGAUGUAAACCACUGUCAGGGGAUACCAAGUUCUGAGGAUCCCCAGAGGAAGAGGCGGCUAACUCUGUGCCAGCAGCCGCGGUAAGACAGAGGCCUCGAGCGUUAGGCGGAAUCACUGGGCUUAAAGCGUGUGUAGGCGGAUCGUUAAGUGUCUCGGUGAAAUCCCCCGGCUCACCCGGGGAACUGCUGGGCAUACUGGCGAUCUUGGGCCGUUCAGGGGCGACUGGAACAAGCGGUGGAGCGGUGAAAUGCGUAGAUUUCGCUUGGAACGCCAAAGGUGAAAACAGGUCGCUGGGGACGCGCCGACCCUGAAACACGAAAGCCAGGGGAGCAAACGGGAUUAGAUACCCCGGUAGUCCUGGCCCUAAACGAUGUCCACUAGAUUAUGGGCGGUUUGACCCGCUCAUGGUCGAAGCAAAGUGUUAAGUGAACCGCCUGGGAAGUACGGUCGCAAGGC
rnacentral:rRNA from 1 species